rnacentral:rRNA from 1 species
CUCCUUUGACGUUAGCGGCGGACGGGUGAGUAACACGUGGGUAACCUACCUAUAAGACUGGGAUAACUUCGGGAAACCGGAGCUAAUACCGGAUAAUAUUUCGAACCGCAUGGUUCGAUAGUGAAAGGUGGUUUUGCUAUCACUUAUAGAUGGACCCGCGCCGUAUUAGCUAGUUGGUAAGGUAACGGCUUACCAAGGCGACGAUACGUAGCCGACCUGAGAGGGUGAUCGGCCACACUGGAACUGAGACACGGCCCAGACUCCUACGGGAGGCAGCAGGC